GGCAUAGCUCAGUGGCAGAGCAUCUGCUUUGUAUGCAAAGAUUCGAGGUUCAAUACCCAGCAUCUCCA